rnacentral:rRNA from 1 species
UACGUAGGCAGCAAACGUUGUUCGGAAUUACUGGGCGUAAAGAGUGUGUAGGCGGUUGGGCAAGUCUGGUGUGAAAUCUCCCGGCUUAACUGGGAGGGUGCGCUAGGAACUGCCUGGCUUGAGUGUCGGAGAGGAAGGCGGAAUUCCUGGAGUAGCGGUGAAAUGCGUAGAUAUCAGGAGGAACACCAGCGGUGUAGACGGCCUUCUGGACGACAACUGACGCUGAGACACGAAAGCGUGGGGAGCAAACAGG